CUCGAAUGAAACGUUGACUCACAUCCGAGCACCACGUGUGUCUGAACAUCAGGUCCAUUUCCAGAACUUAUUCUUUUCACCAAAGGAGUAAUCGGGUGGUAAAUUCUCGUCACAUUCUGUCAAGCAGAUUCUAUCCAGUUUCAAGAAGUGUCAUCUGGACUGUCACUGAUAUUUUUGGUCAAUGUGGACUUCCGGAAUGGAACGACUUGACGUUCCAAGGAACAUUUUGGAAUCACAGAGAAGUGUUAGCCCAAGCACAGCUUCGGAGUCAGGCGAAGAACAAGGCUCAGAAAUUCAGACAGCAAGUGAACCAUUUGAAUCAGUUCAGCGAAUGUCUCGCACGCUUUCACCGGCGUCGAUUUCUGUCUCCUCUGAAGAAAAUAAGGUCACAACAACAAGAAGCCAACGAAAGAUAAAACAUCAUUGCCUUGCGCGAACCGAUAAUCAGUCAUUUACUGCUUCAUUCCCGCUAAGCGGGGAAUCAACUCUUCAAGGAACACCAUGGGAAGAAGCUCUCUAUGGGAAGCGUCCUGGAAAAAAAAUUCAAAGAACUGACAAAGAGACGGAGAUUGUCGCUUUUUGGCGUCAGUUUUUUGGAUAGAAUUAUCAUGACCUUGCCUGCUUAGAAGUUAACAAACUGUGUCAGGUCUGUGCAAGGUUUGGUAAACUGUAAAAGAUUUUCAUAUCUGACCGCUCUGUCUUGUGGUCUUUUACCUAAAAGAAGACGAAUUCAGAGCACUUUUUAAAACAUCAUUUAGUUUUUAAGACGGAAGUACAGAUGUAGAAAAAUUUUAAACAUUCGAAUCGAUGUCAGGAUGUAGAUUUAUUUCUAACUGCCUGUCGGUGUUUUAACAGCCUAUCCAAUAUCAUGACGAGAAUCUCACCAUAACCACUUCCUAUAGUUAAUAGGUUUGUCUUGAUGCUGUUUGCCACAACUCGUAUAAGAAUUAUGUGAUGGAAAUACAAAAUUUUCAACGAUUUCAUUCGAUCCCGCAGAGAUAGAUUUAUUACCAAAGAUGUAAUUGCUUAUCAUUUAUAUCUGGAACAUUGUUAACCAAAUGAUGGAACAUUCGUUUAUCCUAAUGGAAUAAUCAUUUCUACGCAAAGUUUUUGUAAGGAAUAUCAACAAACACGUGAGCGGGUGAAUGUCAAGGUCAUCCAAUGAUGACUGUUUAUCUUUUUCACCAAGUAAAUAAAGCUUUUGAAUUUUUAUGAAA